AAGGAAGAUGGUCACCACGGCAGAUUUUCUACAGGCGGCUGCCGCGUGUGACAUGGAAGCACAGGAGGUUCCACUGUGUUUCCUGGGGAAGCCCAUGGUGCAAGAGGGAGACUUCUCUCUCUUGAUGACCUGGGGGGGGAGCUUGUGUGAAAGAGGGUAUUAGACUGAGAAUCGAUGUAUUAGAGGGGAUUUGAAUGUUAGAGAGCUGGGGGAAGGAGGAGUGUUUUGGGAGUGUUUCAUUGUGGAUUGUUGUGUGUGGUUUUUUUUUUUUUUUUUUCUUUUUCCCUUAUGUUUGUGUGUUGUAGAUUAUUAAAGUGUUGUGUUUUCCCUCCAUCCCCAAUUGGGAGCCUGCUUUGUUCUGUUUCCGGGUCACAUCUCACAGCAACCAUUUUGGAAAUAUACCCUUCAUGGGGGCCCUGGCAUUGUGCCAAGGUCAACCCAUGACACUUAUCUUACUCCUUUUCAAUUCAUGUAGGCGCUAGGAUGUUCAUAUGACAGAGAAUGCUCCUUUAGAUUCAAUAAGUAGGGGAUAUUUUGAUGAAUAUGCUGAUUCUUUAUCUCCUCAGGGCUGUUGUUGGUCACCUUAUCUUCCCUUCUUUCUCUCCUCUCCUCUCCCAACUGUGUUUAUCAUUCUCCUUGAUUUUCUCCUUUCUGGCUUUGUUUCUCACUACUUAUCUCUUGGUUGUCUCUCCCUUUCUCUUGCCUUCCCUGCUUUUUGAUGAGUCUCUCUGCUCUGGCUUUCCUACAACCCACUCCCCCCCUCCUUGCUGCUCCCUCUUCAUUUGCAAGCUCUGCAGACUGCUCCUCUGCACUCCUUUGCCAAGGAGCACAGUGAUGGACUGGCAUGCUGUUUCCUGCUUGGAAUGAGACCUUCAUGUUUAUGGAAAUAAUUGCUGUGUGGAUGGCUUUGCUUUGACUACAAAGCUGCUUCAGUAUGAGAUGUGCAUGGACUUGCUUCUGCAUCUUCCUGUUCUACCAGAUCUCAGAGACCCAAAGAAGACACCUAAAUGAGGAGCCAUUGCUUUCCAUUGCAGUCUGGUAGAAAUACCAACAGUAACAAAGCAUCUACAUGCUGGGUGAACUGUUUGAAUUUUCUACUGACCUUUCACAAAGGCAGGAGGAGGCUGCACUGCUGCAUCCAUGCUGACAGCUUCAGCACGGCUUUUACAUCUGCUGUCAUCUUGCAAACUACUUUUCAUGACUCUUCAAAAAAAGAAACCCUAAUGACAUGCCUUAUUCAAAACCAAAUUCUCCUGGUGUGGUUCACAACUGGUUUACUGAGCUUGUAUAAAACCUUAUGCAUGUGGAAUGCAUAGUAGAAGAAGAAAAGGGAGAUGGAAAAGGAAAUGCUUCACUAGUUUAUUCCUCCCCAGUCUUUUAAUUUCAGAAUGAGAGCACUAUUUAAAUGCCAGAUCUGAUCAACUACAGAGCCACAGAGGUGAAAAGAGAUAAGUUAAUCUGCAAAUCAUUUUUUUCUAAGGAAAACUUGGCAACAUACAUUAUUGUUACUUGUUCUGUGCUCAGGUUUCUAGUUAGGCUGAGGCUCUGUCUUUUCACAGAUAAAAUUUAUAUUGGCACAGUACAGCAAAAAUCUCUCAGCCACUUCAGCAAAGACAUAUAAGAUAAGGUUGUUUGCCAUCCUCAUCAUGAGCAGGUUCUGCUCUGGUACUUAGCAACAUUUUCACACACAGUGAUUUUUCAAGCUUGAAAAAUGCUCUUUUUAUGUAUUUUUGUGCAGAGUGUUUUUUUAGUAGAAGUCUCUACGUUUUUAAGAGAGUAAACUGUAACAAUCAGAGCUUUACCAGCUCUGUAAUUUGAAGUAACAAGCAUUUAGCAAUAGCAGUGAUUCAUGUAGCUUUGACACAGAAAAGAAAAUAACUGGAACUCAAGAAAUAUGGAUAAUACCAAGCACCGUGCAAUGUUAAAUAGAAAUAUUUGAGCUAGCAAAGGCACCAGGAAACUGAAUCAUAACUCUGUUAGUGUGGUACAUUUCCUAACCUAAUACCUCCUGAUGACAAGCACAAAUGAAACAGCCCAGAGAGAUUUAUGGGCCUGCAAAUUUACUUUAGUUCAGGUAUAGAAUAUAUAUAUGGUUAUGGGAAGUGCAGUUUUGAUUGAACUUUUUAUCAAAUUCAGGCUACAGUAGGAGUUUUCUGCUUGCAUACAGGCUGUUAUGUUGACUCCCUUCUAACUUAAUUUUACCUUGCCAUUUGUAAGUGUCCCUACCUGCAGUCUUUCCCUUCUCUAUCACUCAGUCUCAUCAUAGCCCCAGGCUGUUUGUCCCAUUUCUGCAAUUUUUAAUAAAAGUGAAAAUCUCCUUGUCUGAACAAUUCUUUUCUCCCCAUUUAAACAACCAGGACCGCCUCCUGAGCCCACAGCCAUGCAGUAACAUUUUGAGCACUUCCCUUUUAGCAACACUGAAUCUCAAGUGCUCAGGCUUUUUGCCAGAUUUUGUUUUAAUCCAGCUGCUCACCUAUGGUUCUACUACACCCAGAUCCCUUUUCCUUGCCCCUCAACGUGCCUCAGUGUCAGGGCAUGUCUACCUGCUCUGUUACAUUUUUCCUUUGGGACACUCAUUCCCAAUGUGACUCUUCUUAUCCAGAUGCCAAAUGAGCUUGCAGGUUUUUUUUUCCCCCACAGUAGACUUUAAUUUCCUUCUUCUGUAUUAUCUCUUCCACUUUUACCCUCAACCUCUUGCCUUGACAAACACACUAUUUCAAUCCUCACUUUCAGUCCCACUUUUCCCACAGCCUGCAAUACAAGUUUCCACAAUCUUCAACCUUGCAUCUCAUCCCAUGCCCCACACCCUGUUUCCAUGUGCCAUUCCAUGGUCACCCCUACCUUCCAAUACUAUUUUAACCUCUUGGUUUAUGAACAAAUUAGAGUAUUUUUCCAGAUUUCUUGGGCCCAGCAAGAAAGUUGCUACCAAGCACACAGGAGAGAAAAGACCUCUAAGAUCCUAAACCUAGACUUGGCACGAUAAGAUCACAACUAUGAUUUGAUGCAUAGUUUUGUUCAACACAUGAUAGAUCUGCUACAGCUGGGAUUUUGGGAGGCUUUAUCCUGAAAUAUAUAUGAAGAGGAUAUCUCUGGAACACAAGCUAACUGUGGCAUUUCAAAGGCCAAAGCUGAGCAGCUUUUUGGAGAAAAGGCACUUGCCUGCCAAAACACACAAAUGCACACUUGCACGAUGGGUCUUCUAACAGAAAAAAAAAAACAGGCUGAAUUUUUUAACAUGAGCAAAAGAAAUAUAUUUUUCCAUUCCAUUACUGUUAACAAAUAAUUUACAUGUUGAUUUAAAAAUAAAUAAAUUUGUUGAGCAGAAACAGGCUUUCAGCUUGGAAAAUUUGAGUUAAAACAGCUCUAUCAAGGAAGACGUUUAAGACUUAAUAAUUUUAAAAGUUUUAUAGGAAGCAUAAGGCAUACUGAUUGCUAACUGACAAUAAUAACCCAAAAUCAACUACUUUUCUGAAUUUUUGAAAUUAUCAUCUCUCUCUCUAAAGGUAUACAACAAUCUGAUAACAAAGUGUGAAAGGCACACUUAAGUUCAAGGCUUUUAGAAAUGACUGAGAGGCACAGGUUGAAGCAGAAAGUAACAUUUUCCUUGUAUGAGUAUUGAUGAAGUAGAUAAACCACAUACAGAGUUUAAUCUGGAAGUCUAGAGAUGUUCAAAUUACUUUGAAGACAAAAAUGAAAAAUAGAAAACAAAAUACCGUUCCAAUGCCUGUUCAUUGAUUUAAGCAUUUUAGGUGCCAGUAGGAAUAAUAACAAUGAAAACCAUCUGCUGAUCUCUGCAGCUAAUUCUUUAUCUAUGCUUGAAAGACAUGUGCAGAGAUGGGAAGCUGUGUAGACAAAACAAGUUGUAUAUGGCAGUUGUUUGCAGGGUUCUACUCACAGGAAUCCAGUUGCCAUGUAGUUAAGAGCUUUCCCAGGACUGGAGAUCAGAUUCUUGUGCAAUGACUGUCAUCAAGGUAAUGACACAUUUCUUGUGGUUUAAUUCAUAAACCAGUAGUUAAAAAUAAGAUUCUGAAAAGUAUAAGGGUUUAAAAAAGGACAUUGAAAUAAUGAUUUAAUAUAUACUGACCUAAAAGUAAAUUGAUGAAUAAACAGAAAAUUGAUAGAGGAUAUACCAGAUUUUUUUUUCCUCCUGUGAAAAAUUCCAUAAAUCCCUGACAUCAGCUGGCAUCUUUUUAUUGUGUGCCCUGCCUCAAUCCAAACCAGGCUCUUGCAAGCUCAUAGCAGUUCUGAUUUCUAAAUAUUUGUCACAAAGCAUUCAGAAUAUUUAGGAAUGGUCUAUUUGUGCUCACAUGAAAAUAUAUUUGACCGUAGCGUGGGGAGAAGGGUGCUCUACAAACCAAAGGGAAAUAAAAACUGAGGAUGAUUUUGUGUGGGUGGCAGAGGUAAGCCUUACACCACUCCCACAUAGAUAUUCACAGGUUGAAUAGACACUGCUGAAUAGGUUAACAGCUCCUAUUCACCACCACUAAUCACAAAGUGGCAUUGUGCAUUAAUAAAUGUAAUUCAGUCACACAAGACCACAGGCUUGACACAGAACUGGCACUGGAGGCACUCAGGACUUCUCUGAGCUUGAGACAGUUUUAGCAAUAGUCAAGGGACUAGUGCCUGAUUUUAGCUUUUGGGAAGGCAGCUUUCUGUGUGGUAAAGAUCCAACAGACCUAGAUAGCCACUGUGUGAUGCACAACAGCCCUUCAUGUUCACAGGAGCUGCUGAAGGAUUUGGGGGGAUGCUUAGUGAGUAAAAUUUGGUCUUGUUAACAAAACAUGUAAAAACAGCCACAGCUGGACCCCAAGAUCAAGGAGGAAUGUAUCCUUACCACCACUGUAGUUCUCCUCCUGAAGAGUGCAGGAUGUCCAGGACUCACAGAAUCAUGGAAUGGCUUAGGUUGGAAGGGAUCCUAAAGAUCACCUAAUUCCACCCCUCCACUAAGGGCAGGGAUACCAUGCACUAGGUCAUGGACCUUCUGCCUCCAAGCACACCGCUCUGCUUGAGGACAGCUGAGCUAUUUGCUGUAAGGUCCAUAGGGACACUGCAAGAGUGAGCAUAGCUCCAGGAAAAAGGGUAAAUGUUACUAAGCUGUCUUUUAAAAUAAUUUUAAGGGCAUUACUGGGGAGGUUUUUCCAUAUAACCUCAGACUAUAAUGGCCAAUAGUACUGGA